rnacentral:rRNA from 1 species
UACGUAGGGUGCAAGCGUUAAUCGGAAUUACUGGGCGUAAAGCGUGCGCAGGCGGUUUUGUAAGUCUGUCGUGAAAUCCCCGGGCUCAACCUGGGAAUUGCGAUGGAGACUGCAAGGCUUGAAUCUGGCAGAGGGGGGUAGAAUUCCACGUGUAGCAGUGAAAUGCGUAGAGAUGUGGAGGAACACCGAUGGCGAAGGCAGCCCCCCGGGUCAAGAUUGACGCUCAUGCACGAAAGCGUGGGGAGCAAACAGG